UACCUGGUUGUUCAGAGAAUAUCACGCGUCUAAAGUUGGAAAUCUCAACCGUUCAUUCCACUAAAACAACCCUAUAUAAUCACUGGUGUGUUUCCCUUAUUCCCAAUUCAAUUUCUCCCCUUUCAAUUCAAUAGUUCUCUCAUUCCUCUCCUACCUAUCACCUAUCAAGAGUUUGGAUUUCCUAUUCGUGACCUGGUUUUCACAUGGAUCAGAUUCCGAUCUACUCGCCAACCGUUCUUUUCCUACAAAUUGAUUUUCCAAGAUUUGAAGCCCUAUGCACCGAUCUACCGUUCAGAGGUGUGAUGAUCGUGUUCGUGUUGCUUGUUUCGUGAAGGCCCGAUGAAUAUAGAGCAGAUGGCCAGAACAAAAUUACCAGGUGCAGCGCUUCAUUUGUUCCUCUGUGGAGUUCUUCGCUUUCGGAUUCUUGAGGGGAAAUGUUCGGUGUAUGUUGUAGAAUGAAUAUUUGGGGAUGAAGUGGUUAAGGUGAAUUUUGUCAACCGACCUUUGCCAUGACAGGUGCGCUUGCAUGGCAGGUCAAUCAAAAUUAAUAAAAGAAAAUUAUUUGUGGGUUUUGGGGGAGAUCGCACGGGAAUUCCCGGGUUCUCCCUCUGGUGUGGUGGCGUGUGUCUGUGUUUCUUUUCCUUCUUUCUCCCUUCCCUUAUAUCUUUCUUUUCCUCUCACUCUCCUUGCGACGGAUACACCACCACUGGACUCGCUUCGUCAUCGAUCUAAUGAGGUAUCGUCUAAUCUAUCAGUUUAACUUCACAUUUAUAAUAACGCCUUUCUUUUUUCGUAACAUAGUCCACAUACGAAUAACAACUACCAAAAUCAAUGCAAUUGCAAACAUUGAAACAGGUAAUUCGUAGUAUAUCUCUCGAAAGGGUGAAUUAGUAAUUGAAGUAUACUAAGAUGUUAAUUCUAAUUUUGACCGUUUUCUUGUAUUUACUGGGAAUAUCUAACAGCUUGGAUGAUAGAUUCGUAAUAGCAACAUUGAUCCUUCGGUCGACUUCUAUAAUAACUAAUCGAGAGGCGAAACUACUAGUUAGUUAACACUUGUUUGAUAUUUUUCCUCUGUUAACUUAAAUUUCCCCUACGCUAUUACUACGAGUAUCAUUUCCGAUUUUAGUUCUUAUCAUUAAUUGUAACCCAAAAUCUGUUCUCCUUCACUUUUAGCAUUUCAAUUUCCCACAAUGCAUAGAUUUUUCUGUAGAUAUACUCGUUCGAUUGAAGUCUCCGCAGCCGGAAGGGUGUGAAUGUUUCACCGUAUCAAAUAUUGCAGUGAACUUCCUCAGCUUGACUAGAAAGAAUUGCAAGGUCUCAGGUGUUCAAAAGGCUAAAUUCAAGGGAACGUUUCAAUAUAUGUUGUUAUUCAUCAAUAUUUUGAGACAUGUUUUUAGUGAAUUUGGGAACUGUUCCACAACAAACUGUUGUGGUGAGCAUGAAUAUUCAAUCAAGAUGACUUCCGCAAAUGGGGUUGAGAAAUUCAUUUGACUGAAAGACUUUGGAUUGUGAUAGUUGAAGAUGCGUGCUCUUUUGAUUCAAGAAGGCCUCUCAAAGCUUUAGAAGGUGAAUCCAAACUUUGCAUCAAUGGUUGAGAAGGACAAGAAAAUGUUACAGAAGGCUCACUUCACAAUUAUGUUGAGCCUUGGUAAUAAGGUGUUAAGACAAGAGCCUUGAUGGAGAAGACUGCAAUAUAGAACUUUGAACGAAGCUCAAGAUCUUGCAUAUGAUCAUGUCCUUGGUGAAUCGCAUCUUGUAUAGUCUUACAAGAUGAGUAAGUCAAAAGACGAUUAGCAAACAAUUGGACGAGUUUAACAAAUUAAUUCUAGAUUUGUAUGUAGAUUAAUGAUGAGGAUCAAAAACUGUUGUUAGUGUGUUCAUUGCUCAAAAUGCAUGAUCACUUUAAAGAGACCUUGUUGUAUGGAAGAUAGACUUUCUCUAAAAGAAGUUUUAAGGAA